AAAUCAAAAUCCGACCCCUGCAUUAGCCAUGGGGUUAAAUGCUUCUCUUGAGGAAGGCAGAGGGUUCCUCUUAUGCUACCCAUUGGC
ensembl:misc_RNA